UACGUAGGGGGCUAGCGUUGUCCGGAAUCAUUGGGCGUAAAGAGCGUGUAGGCGGCCCGGUAAGUCCGCUGUGAAAGUCAAAGGCUCAACCUUUGAAUGUCAGCGGAUACUGCCGGGCUAGAGUCCGGAAGAGGCGAGUGGAACUCCUGGUGUAGCGGUGGAAUGCGCAGAUAUCAGGAAGAACACCAACGGCGAAGGCAGCUCGCUGGGACGGUACUGACGCUGAGACGCGAAAAGCGUGGGGGAGCGAACAGG
rnacentral:rRNA from 1 species